rnacentral:rRNA from 1 species
UACGGGGGGGGCAAGCGUUGUUCGGAAUUACUGGGCGUAAAGGGCUCGUAGGCGGCCAACUAAGUCAGACGUGAAAUCCCUCGGCUUAACCGGGGAACUGCGUCUGAUACUGGAUGGCUUGAGUUUGGGAGAGGGAUGCGGAAUUCCAGGUGUAGCGGUGAAAUGCGUAGAUAUCUGGAGGAACACCGGUGGCGAAGGCGGCAUCCUGGACCGGUUCUGACACUGAGGAGCGAAAGCGUGGGGAGCGAUCCGG